GAAAGCAGAGCGUCCCCAUUCCCAAAAUUAUUAGAGGUUCGAGGUUCUUUUAAACCCAAAAUCAUUUUAGUGAGCUUUUAACCUCUGAUAGCUCCCGAGCAGCAGCCGAAGGCUUCGUUCCCCUCGCUGUGCCCAAGGUCCGAGGCGUCCCUGCCAGACCAGGGGGGCUCCCGGACAGGCACGGCCCCGGUGGGGCAGGACGGCGCUGCCCGGCAGGAGCGCCCCAAGGACCUCAGAGGGAGGGAGCACAACUUCCACACGAGCUGGGCCCCCAGUCUGAACAAACAAACAAACCCCAAGAACAACCAAACCCUUCCUCGCCUUUAGAAACCACUUUUACCGAAGCACCCACACGAGCAAGUGAACUUUCUCAGCGAAUCCGUUCCAGGGACGUCGUUUGUCUGCUGGCCGGUGGUAAUCAGCUGUGAGAAGCUGUCGCCUCCGUCUAAGACGGAGAGGCCCUGCAGAGAGACCUGGACAAGUGAGGGGACUGGGCAAUGACCACUUGUAUGAGCUCUGGCCAAGACCAGUGCUGGAUUCUGCACCUGGGGCACAGCAACCCUGGAUGUACAGACAGGCUGGACAGCAGCACUGCAGGAAGGGACCUGGCGGCCUUGGUCGAUGGCAACUUGACAAUGAGUCAGCUCUGCCCUGUCUGCCUAGAGAAAUUUUAGAGCUAGAUUAUGCAAGUCUUUCUUUUUAAUUUCAGAUUGAGGCAAUUAAUUAACUCGUGCUAUGAAGCCCAUGAUUACCAAAGUGAAUGCUGUUCCACCAAGGUCAGAUAAAAUUAGCAUUAAUCUGCUGGUUUUGAAUUCAGCAGAUAGUUGACUACAACUUCAUUUAUAAGAAGACUUUUUCGGAUACAUUCCAGAGAUUGCACUAUUGUGAACAGCUCCUAUUUCUAACACUGUAUUUGCUGGUUCCCAAUCUGUAGUGAAUGAUGAAAAAUCCUUGAUAAAACAGAAUAUACUUUGCUUAUUCUUAUUCAGGCUUUUUCAAAUAUAAAAAUCAAUGACAACCUAUUUGUCAAAUUGCAGAGGGCAUGAGUAGAUUAAAAACAGGCGAAAAAAUAGGCAGAUGUUGCUACAUCUAGAGGCUUAUUUUAGACAAAUUUCAGAUGUUGAUUUAUAUCAAUAUGACAGGCAGCCAGAUAUACACUCAAAUUUCAAAGUGCAGAAUUCUUCCACAGCUUGGCAUUUCCUUUGGCGUUAUGUCCAAGAGCAUCCAUUUUAAACAAGGUACUUUGGGACACUUCUCACUUGAGAGCCAAGUAAACAUUUCAAUUUUAUUAUUUCUUUUCAAAAUGAACAGCUGGUCUUCUCUUUAUACAAUUAUGCUAUCAAAUAUUGAUUAGGGCAAUAAAUAAAAUAAAAAUAGGAGAGAAAGAGGUGAGUUCAAACAUCUGGCUACCCCUCUUCAGUACCAGCAGAGCACUGUUCGCCUCCACACCUUGCUGGAUGCUGAUGCAAACUUGUAGAUGGGGGACAGGAUUCAGUUUGUGACCCAGAAUGCAGAUAAAAACACCAUGGAAAUUACAGACUUUCUAUUCCUCUCAAUCGCCUCUCCUAUACUUACUGGACAGAGAAAAUACUAUGGAAGAGUAUCUAUGAAACAUACAUAUAAAUGUAAGAGGCAUUUAUGAAAGUUUUCAUAGUAGGAAAACUCCCUUCUUGAAAGGAAAACUCCUCCUUCUUGAAGAAGAAAAACUAACUUCCUUCUCCUUUUCCUUCUGGAAAACUUCCUUCUGGAGAUGACCAAUGAGAUUUGCAGCAUCCCAGCAAAUAAAACUUUCAUAAUAAACUUCUGUGAAAGACAACAUAAAAGUAACUGAAGUUUGAGUGCCUGGGGUGGUGGAGGAGGAAGAACACAAAUCAGAAAAGCAUAUUCAAGUACAGAGGCUUUAAUUCUUUGCUCUGUUAAAUGAUAAUUGCUACAUAGAAAGUUCAGAAUGGACCUGACCUUUACCAUAAAAUCCUACAGUAAGUUUGUUUGCUAAGUGAUGGCAUUAAAAGCAUGUAUCUACUUGCUUCGUGAAGGAAAAACAAGAUCUCAAGUUUAACAUCCAUCAAGUUACAUCUUUUUAUUUAUGCAAGAAGUUCAUUUAGAAUUCCAUAACCUAACAGCAGUGACAAGGACAGCUUGUUUGGAAAGAGAAAUUAAUCUGAAUUUCAAACAAGCUAGUUUUCUAACUGGCAAAGCAUCUCUAAGGUCACGUCAGCUGUUUUACUGCCCUAAUGUCUCAAGCCAUGAAGUAUAUCUGACAGACACUCCCUGAAGGCUAGAAACUGUUAGGGUAGAGGCAGCCUGACAGAAAAUGUGGAAUAAAUGCACAAGACAACAAAACAAGUGUUAGGAACCCAUUGAGAUGUCACUAAACAAAUACUAAGGCAGCACAUACUGAUUAGCAAUGGAUGGAUGACCUUCUGGUCAUCAUUCUUCUAAGGUGCCAUUCAAAACACCAGCUUCUUUGUUUUUCCCUGAAAGCAUCACAGCAACAGCUACAGCACAUGCAAGUCACUUACAGGAAAGCAGCCUUUUAAUCUUCAGUGCAUCGUACCUUUUUACACCAACACUUAGUAGCUGGAGAGAGUAGAAAAAGAGUAACUAUGAACAGCAACACUACCAAAAGCCCUCAGGGGUCUUGGAGCUCAGACUUAAGUCUGAUUUUACAGAGGGCACAAAGAUUUCAGGACAAGAGAGAGUAAAAGUUUUUGCCUUAAGAGAAGGAGUGUGGGACUGGGACAAAGCAGAAUGUCUAGAGUAAGUGAUGAGUAGGCUAAAGACACUCAUUCUUCUCAGAGACACCAAGUGACAGGAUUAGAAUCAAUGUGAGAAUUUAAAUACAAGAAAUUCCUCUUGAAAAUAAAAUUUUAUUUUAAUUACAGUGAA